rnacentral:rRNA from 1 species
AGACGGGGGCCCGCACAAGCGGUGGAGUAUGUGGUUUAAUUCGACGCAACGCGCAGAACCUUACCUAGACUUGACAUCCCGGGGAUUUUCUGGAAACAGAGAAGUGCUUUAGCAAUAAAGAACCCGGUGACAGGUGCUGCAUGGCUGUCGUCAGCUCGUGUCGUGAGAUGUUGGGUUAAGUCCCGCAACGAGCGCAACCCUCGCCUUUAGUUGCCAGCAUUCAGUUGGGCACUCUAGAGGGACUGCCGGUGUCAAACCGGAGGAAGGUGGGAUGACGUCAAGUCCUCAUGGCCUUUAUGUCUAGGGCUACACACGUACUACAAUGGCCGGUACAAAGGGCAGCCACUCAGCGAUGAGGCGCUAAUCCCAUAAAGCCGGUCUCAGUCCGGAUCGCAGUCUGCAACUCGACUGCGUGAAGUUGGAAUCGCUAGUAAUCGUAGAUCAGCAUGCUACGGUGAAUACGUUCCCGGGCCUU